rnacentral:rRNA from 1 species
UACGUAGGGAGCAAGCGUUGUCCGGAAUCAUUGGGCGUAAAGCGCGCGUAGGUGGCCUCGUAAGUCCGCUGUGAAAGUCAAAGGCUCAACCUUUGAAAGCCGGUGGAUACUGUGAGGCUAGAGUACGGAAGAGGCGAGUGGAAUUCCUGGUGUAGCGGUGGAAUGCGCAGAUAUCAGGAGGAACACCAAUAGCGAAGGCAGCUCGCUGGGACUUAACUGACACUGAGGCGCGAAAGCGUGGGGAGCGAACAGG